rnacentral:piRNA from 1 species
GCAUGUCUCUGUGGCGCAAUCGGU